UGGGGAAUUUUGGACAAUGGGCGAAAGCCUGAUCCAGCAAUGCCGCGUGUGUGAAGAAGGCCUUCGGGUUGUAAAGCACUUUUGUCCGGAAAGAAAUCCUUGGCUCUAAUACAGUCGGGGGAUGACGGUCCGGAAGAAUAAGCACCGGCUAACUACGUGCCAGCAGCCGCGGUAAUACGUAGGGUGCAAGCGUUAAUCGGAAUUACUGGGCGUAAAGCGUGCGCAGGCGGUUUGCUAAGACCGAUGUGAAAUCCCCGGGCUCAACUGGGAACUGCAUUGGUGAACUGGGCAGGCUAGAGUAUGGCAGAGGGGGGUAGAAUUCCACGUGUAGCAGUGAAAUGCGUAGAGAUGUGGAGGAAUACCGAUGGCGAAGGCAGCCCCCUGGGCCAAAUACUGACGCUCAUGCACGAAAGCGUGGGGAGCAAACAGGAUUAGAUACCCUGGUAGUCCACGCCCUAAAAGGCGAUGUCAACUAGUUGUUGGGGAUUCAUUUCCUUAGUAACGUAGCUAACGCGUGAAGUUGACCGCCUGGGGGAGUACGGUCGCAAGAUUAAAAACUU
rnacentral:rRNA from 1 species